UUUUAAGUCAACGCACGUGUGUGUUCCCUAGGAUCGGGACCUUUCAUCAUGCAUACUUUUGUUAAGUAAUCGUAUCUUGUGGCUUUGAUUGAUCCACUUGUUCAUUUUUAAAAUAGAUGUUUUAUUUAUUUUCAUGAGCGCGUUUAUUAUCAACCAAGAACACUUGGUUCAGUGGUUGGUUACUUAGCCUGCAACCUCAAGGGCAGGGGUUCAACCCCUGAUGCCCCUCAUUUGGUUUUGUAUUUUUUUCCCCUCAUUUUCUUUUCUUCAUUUUAUUUAAUUUCACAACUUUUUCAUUUUUUUCCCUUUUUUUUUGUUUAUUUCUCUUAACCAAAUAUUUCAUUAAAUAUUUUCCAUCAAUAUAUUUUAUUUAUCCAUUAAUUUUUU
rnacentral:lncRNA from 1 species